rnacentral:lncRNA from 10 species
GCAGUUAUGAAUAUUCAUGUACAUGUCUCCUGGAACACUUGAGCAAGACUUACUCCUGGAUAUUUGCCCAAAAAUGGAACUGCUGGGUUUUAAGAGACAAUAUUCAAACUAGGCCAAUUAAUAACACCCUACAAUGGCCUCUAAGUGUUCAAGUGAAAGGAAGAGGCAAUCAAGGAGGCAAAGUUCCUUGUUGUCAAGAAACCGCCGUCAUCCCAGCCUUCACCGACCACCACCUCAGUCAGUCAGCAGCCAUCACCAAUGAGGCAAGAACUUCCACCAGCAAAAAGAUUACGACUUGCAAAAGCUCAGAUGACUGUUAGCAUUUAAAAAAUUAAGGGAUGUACCGUUUUCAUAGACAUAACACUAUUGCUCACUUAAGACUGCAGUAUUGUGGA